AGUGAACGCUGGCGGUAGGCCUAACACAUGCAAGUCGAACGGCAGCACAGUAAGAGCUUGCUCUUACGGGUGGCGAGUGGCGGACGGGUGAGGAAUACAUCGGAAUCUACUUUUUCGUGGGGGAUAACGUAGGGAAACUUACGCUAAUACCGCAUACGACCUACGGGUGAAAGCAGGGGAUCUUCGGACCUUGCGCGAUUGAAUGAGCCGAUGUCGGAUUAGCUAGUUGGCGGGGUAAAGGCCCACCAAGGCGACGAUCCGUAGCUGGUCUGAGAGGAUGAUGAGCCACACUGGAACUGAGACACGGUCCAGACUCCUACGGGAGGCAGCAGUGGGGAAUAUUGGACAAUGGGCGCAAGCCUGAUCCAGCCAUACCGCGUGGGUGAAGAAGGCCUUCUGGUUGUAAAGCCCUUUUGUUGGGAAAGAAAAGCAGCAGGUUAAUACCCCGCUGUUCUGACGGUACCCAAAGAAUAAGCACCGGCUAACUUCGUG
rnacentral:rRNA from 1 species